rnacentral:rRNA from 1 species
AGUCACUGGGAACGAUACAAUAAACCUACUGGCGCAGUGAAAGCGGGGCCGCGCCUCCCUCGCGGGGGCUCGGCUCUGGGAGGAUGGCGGCGCACUUGCGGUGCCGCCCGCACUCCCGGGGCGCGUAGUACACCCGUAUUACGCGCACCCCGAGCGUACACGUUGGGACCCGAAAGAUGGUGAACUAUGCCUGGUCAGGACGAAGUCAGGGGAAACCCUGAUGGAGGUCCGCAGCGAUUCUGACGUGCAAAUCGAUCGUCAGAGCUGGGUAUAGGGGCGAAAGACUAAUCGAACCAUCUAGUAGCUGGUUCCCUCCGAAGUUUCCCUCAGGAUAGCUGGCGCCCAUUUUGACAAAUACGAGUCUCAUCCGGUAAAGCGAAUGAUUAGAGGCCUUGGGGCCGAAACGACCUCAACCUAUUCUCAAACUUUAAAUGGGUGAGAACUCCGGCUUGCUUGAUUGAAGCCGCGAGAGUUUUGGAUCAGGGUGCCAAGUGGGCCAUUUUUGGUAAGCAGAACUGGCGCUGUGGGAUGAA